rnacentral:rRNA from 1 species
CAAUAGCGUAUAUUAUUGAUGUUGCAGUUGAAACGUUCGUAGUCGAGCAUUGUCUGCUACAACGUCACGCCAUUGCUGAUGGUGUGAUGUUUCCAGCGGAGAUUGUGCAAGGAGGAAAAUGUGCUUCACAUUAAGAAUUCUUGCAUUUUACUUUGAGUGAAUCGGCGUGUUCCACGCAGGCAAGUGCCUUGCACGAUUUACCAUAGCAUAAAUAAAUUAUGAGAAUGCUUCCUUGCUCUGUUCGGAAGCACUUUCAACAGUGAAAAGCACGGUUGAGGGCAUUCGUAUUCGACUGCUAGAGGUGAAAUUCUUUGAUUAGUCGAGGACGAACAAUUGCGAAAGCAUCUGUCAAGGAUGUUGCUUUUGA